GCGGGAGAACGUCUUCGGACUAGUAUACCGGCGAAAGGGUGAGUAAUAGCACGUUAACGUACCCCCGGGACUGGGAUAAUUCACCGAAAGGUGUUGUAAUACCAGAUGAGGCAUCGCGGCCAUGGUCGCGCUGUGAAAGCGAUGGGACCCUUCGGGGCCAUCGACCUGGGGAGCGGACGUGCCCUGAUUAGUUAGUUGGUGGGGUAAAGGCCUACCAAGACAUUGAUCAGUAGCCGGCUUGAGAGGGUGUCCGGCCACACUGGGACUGAGACACUGCCCAGACUCCUACGGGAGGCUGCAGUCGCGAAUCUUCCACAAUGGACGCAAGUCUGAUGGAGCCACACCGUGUGCAGGAGGAAGGCCUUAGGGUUGUAAACUGCUGUCGAAGGGGGGGAAAUACCGUUAUCCAAUAGGUGUCGGUUUGACUGCCCCUUAAAGGAAGCUCCGGCUAAACACGUGCCAGCAGACGCGGUAAUACGCGUGGAGCGAGCGUUGUUCGGAAUUACUGGGCUUAAAGGGUGCGUAGGCGGUAUUGUAAGUCAGUGAUGAAAAGUCGUCGGCCCAACCGUCGAAUAGCCAUUGAUACUGCAUUACUUGAGUGUGCUAGGGGUGAACGGAACGAGUGGAGUAGCGGUGAAAUGCGUAGAUAUCACUCGGAAGACCGGAGGCGAAGGCGGUUCACUGGGGCACAACGGACGCUGAGGCACGAAAGCGUGGGUAGCGAACAGGAUUAGAUACCCUGGUAGUCCACGCCGUAAACGAUGAGCACUGGAUGACUGCGGAGUGUGCCGUGGUUGUCGUAGAUAACUUGUUAAGUGCUCCGCCUGGGGACUAUGAUCGCAAGAUUGAAACUCAAAGGAAUUGACGGGGGCUCACACAAGCGGUGGAGGAUGUGGUUUAAUUCGAAGCAACGCGAAGAACCUUACCAGGUCUUGACAUAUUGGAAUUAAUCGAUUGAAAGAUCGAGGCUUACCAGCAAUGGAGUAACCAAUACAGGUGCUGCAUGGCUGUCGUCAGCUCGUGCCGUGAGGUGUUAGGUUAAGUCCUUUAACGAGCGAAACCCCUAUCGUCAGUUGCCAGCGCGUAAAGGCGGGGACUCUGGCGAGACUGCCGCAUAUAAGUUGGAGGAAGGAGGGGAUGACGUCAAGUCAUCAUGGCCCUUAUGAUCUGGGCUACACACGUCCUACAAUGGUCGGUACAGAGGGUAGCGAAGCCGCGAGGUGGAGCCAAUCCCCAAAGCCGGCCCCAGUUCGGAUUGCAGGCUGCAAUUCGCCUGCAUGAAGUUGGAAUCGCUAGUAAUCGCGGGUCAGCUAUACCGCGGUGAUACGUUCCUGAGCCUUGUACACACCGCCCGUCAAGCCACCCGAAUUGGUCGCACCCGAAGUCGUAGUUCCAACCC
rnacentral:rRNA from 1 species